rnacentral:rRNA from 1 species
GACGAACGCUGGCGGCGUGCUUAACACAUGCAAGUCGAACGGAAAGGCCCUGCUUUUGUGGGGUGCUCGAGUGGCGAACGGGUGAGUAACACGUGAGUAACCUGCCCUUGACUUUGGGAUAACUUCAGGAAACUGGGGCUAAUACCGGAUAGGAGCUCCUGCUGCAUGGUGGGGGUUGGAAAGUUUCGGCGGUUGGGGAUGGACUCGCGGCUUAUCAGCUUGUUGGUGGGGUAGUGGCUUACCAAGGCUUUGACGGGUAGCCGGCCUGAGAGGGUGACCGGCCACAUUGGGACGGAGAUACGGCCCAGACUCCUACGGGAGGCAGCAGUGGGGAAUAUUGCACAAUGGGCGGAAGCCGGAUGCAGCAACGCCGCGUGCGGGAUGACGGCCUUCGGGUGGUAAACCGCUUUCGCCUGUGACGAAGCGUGAGUGACGGUAAUGGGUAAAGAAGCACCGGCUAACUACGU